CCAGACUCCUACGGGAGGCAGCAGUGAGGAAUAUUGGUCAAUGGGCGAGAGCCUGAACCAGCCAAGUCGCGUGAAGGAUGAAGGAUCUAUGGUUUGUAAACUUCUUUUAUAUGGGAAUAAAGUGAGGAACGUGUUCCUUUUUGUAUGUACCAUAUGAAUAAGCAUCGGCUAACUCCGUGCCAGCAGCCGCGGUAAUACGGAGGAUGCGAGCGUUAUCCGGAUUUAUUGGGUUUAAAGGGUGCGUAGGCGGGCUGUUAAGUCAGCGGUCAAAUGUCGGGGCUCAACCCCGGCCUGCCGUUGAAACUGGCGGCCUCGAGUGGGCGAGAAGUAUGCGGAAUGCGUGGUGUAGCGGUGAAAUGCAUAGAUAUCACGCAGAACUCCGAUUGCGAAGGCAGCAUACCGGCGCCCGACUGACGCUGAGGCACGAAAGCGUGGGUAUCGAACAGGAUUAGAUACCCGAGUA
rnacentral:rRNA from 1 species